rnacentral:rRNA from 1 species
AUUGAACGCUGGCGGCAUGCUUUACACAUGCAAGUCGAACGGUAACAGGCCGCAAGGUGCUGACGAGCGGCGGACGGGUGAGUAAUGCAUCGGAACGUGCCCAGUCCUGGGGGAUAACUACUCGAAAGAGUAGCUAAUACCACAUACGAUCUAUGGAUCAAAGCGGGGGACCGUAAGGCCUCGCGCGAUUGGAGCGGCCGAUGUCGGAUUAGGUAGUUGGUGGGGUAAAGGCUCACCAAGCCCACGAUCUGUAGCUGGUCUGAGAGGACGACCAGCCACACUGGAACUGAGACACGGCCCAGACUCCUACGGGAGGCAGCAGUGGGGAAUGUUGGACAAUGGGCGCAAGCCUGAUCCAGCAAUGCCGCGUGCAGGAAGAAGGCCUUCGGGUUGUAAACUGCUUUUGUACGGAACGAAACGGCUCUGGUUAAUACCCGGGGCUAAUGACGGUACCGGAAGAAUAAGCACCGGCUAACUACGUG